ACGUUGGCGGUUGCUAUUUGGGAGGUGUCGUGAACUCAAAUCCUUAGACUAGUAGCUUAAUUUCUUUUUCCUUAUAUUGUUCCGUGCUUGAAUAAGAAAUUCAAAGACUCUCGUAAGCUCUGCAAAAUGAACACCGAAUCGGAUAAAGAACAAUUCCUGAAGGAGUUUGGAAGUGAUUAUGGUUAUCCAAAUGCCCCCAAGAACAUUGAUGAAAUUAGAGCUACCGAAUUUAAGCGCUUAAACAGUACGGUAUACUUGGAUCAUGCUGGAGCCACUCUUUAUUCUGAGUCUCAAAUGGAAGCUAUUUUUAAGGACCUCAAUUCUACUGUUUAUGGAAAUCCUCAUAGCCAGAGCAGUUGCAGUUUGGCUAGCGAGGACAUUGUUGCGAAAGCACGCCAACAGGUUCUUAAUUUCUUCAAUGCAUCACCAAGAGAAUAUAGCUGUAUAUUCACUUCUGGGGCAACGUCUGCAUUAAAGCUUGUUGGGGAGACCUUCCCCUGGAGCAGUCAAAGCAGUUUUAUGUACUCAAUGGAGAAUCAUAACAGCGUCCUGGGGAUUAGGGAAUAUGCUCUCAGUAAAGGAGCUGCUGCUUUUGCAGUUGACAUUGAAGAGAGCACGCAUCUUGGUGAAUCAGAAAGCCCCAAAUCUAACUUAAAACUAACACAGCAUCACGUUCAGAGAAGAAGUGAAGGUGGGGAACUGAAAGAAGGGAUGACAGGUAAUGCAUACAACUUGUUUGCAUUCCCCUCAGAAUGCAAUUUUUCAGGUCGAAAAUUCGACCCUUACCUGGUUAAGGUUAUCAAGGAAGAGUCUGAAAGAAUCGUAGGAAGCUCCCAGUAUGGCAGAGGUUGCUGGUUGGUUCUGAUUGAUGCUGCUAAAGGAUGUGCUACCGAUCCACCAGAUUUAUCAAAGUUUAAAGCGGACUUUGUUGUCUUCUCGUUCUACAAGUUAUUCGGCUACCCAACUGGCCUUGGAGCACUCAUUGUUCGAAAUGGUAAGCAGCUAAAUAAGAAGACCAAUAUUUCUUAUGCUGCUAAGCUGAUGAAGAAGACCUACUUUAGUGGAGGCACGGUGGCUGCAGCUAUUGCUGACAUUGACUUUUUCAAAAGAAGAGAAGGUGUAGAGGAAUUUUUUGAGGAUGGCACCAUCUCGUUCUUGAGCAUAGCAGCAAUUCAACAUGGGUUCAGAAUAAUGAAUAUGUUAACAACAUCUUCAAUUUCCCGGCAUACAGCAUCACUUGCAGCAUAUGUGAGGAAUAAGCUUUUGGCGCUGAAGCAUGAAAAUGGAGAAUUUGUUUGCACUCUUUACGGGUUACUAUCUAGUAAAAUGGGUCCUACGGUUUCAUUCAACAUGAAAAGACCAGAUGGAACAUGGUAUGGAUAUCGUGAGGUGGAAAAAUUGGCAACCUUGGCUGGAAUUCAACUGCGGACAGGAUGUUUUUGCAAUCCUGGUGCUUGUGCUAAAUAUCUUGGUUUGUCACACUUGGACCUUCUUUCAAACAUUGAGGCUGGGCAUGUGUGCUGGGAUGAUCGUGAUAUUUUACAUGGAAAACCAACUGGAGCUAUCAGAGUAUCUUUUGGGUACAUGUCAACAUUUGAAGAUGUUAUGAAGUUUGUCAACUUCGUGGAAAAUAAUUUUGUAAUAUUAUCAUCUAACUGGUCUGCGUUUCAUCCAAGCUCCAUCUCUCCACCAGUUGAAGGAAUUGGAAAAGCCGCUGCACGGCAUUUCCUCACAUCUAUUACUGUCUAUCCAAUAAAGUCCUGCGCAGGAUUUAGUGCGAAUCAGUGGCCUCUAACAUCUACUGGGUUAUUGUAUGAUCGUGAAUGGAUUCUCAAGAGCACAACUGGUGAAAUUCUUACCCAAAAGAAGGUUCCAGAAAUGUGCUAUAUUACCACGCUGAUUGAUCUCAAUUUGGGAAAACUCUUUGUAGAGUCACCUCGUUGCAAGGAGAAAUUGCAGAUUGAACUCAAAUCCAACUCACUUGCCACUGGAAGAGAUGAAAUGGAUAUCCAGAAUCAUAGAUAUGAAGUCCGAAGUUAUAACAAUGAGGUUGAUAUCUGGUUCAGCAAUGCAAUUGGUCGACCUUGCACUCUAUUAAGGAAUUCAGGUUCCCAAAGUUACUCAUGCAUAAAUAAGAAUGGGAGUCCUGGCAUGUGCAGGGACGUUGGUGCUAGAUUGAAUUUCGUCAAUGAAGCCCAGUUUCUGCUGGUAUCUGAAGAAAGCAUAGCUGACCUCAACUCUAGGCUGAAAUCAAAUGGACGAAAGAGCACUGGCGGACAAGCAGUUCAAGUUGGCGCAAUGAGAUUUCGGCCCAAUCUUGUAGCAUCAGGUGGUGAACCAUAUGCAGAAGAUCGGUGGAGGCAUCUAAAUAUUGGGGGCAAAUAUUUUACGUCAUUGGGUGGUUGCAACCGUUGUCAGAUGAUCAAUAUAAAUCCAGAGGCUGGGGAGGUGCAGAGGUUGAGUGAACCUUUGGCAACUUUAGCAGGCUACAGGAGAGCAAAGGGGAAAAUAUUGUUUGGCAUACUACUAAGAUAUGAGAAUAAUACGAAAACCAAGUCGGAUGCAUGGCUUCGUGUAGGAGAACAAAUAUUCUCAAAUGGAGAUAGCAAUUGAUUACUUUCUUUGAAGUCUCUAUUUGGGACUUGUAAGUAGUCACAACAGAGGUUACAAGUGUUGAAUGUGGUGAAGAAGCGGCAGAAACACUUCCUCUUGGCAGAUUUGCCAAGGAAAAUGCAGAUAUUGACUCUGUAACACUCUCUCGUGGAUCAUGGUGACUACAAAUCCUCUGAGGGGAAGCAUCAUUGAGCACUGCAGGUUAUUAUUCUGACCCUUGCAAUGCGCCCUCGAUCUAUCAUAGGGAGUGGAAUCCAGCUGUGGAUUGUCUUGGCACAUUCUUGACCACUUGUGAAGAAAGUUCUGUGCCUAUUCGUGCCCCCUCUGAAAAACUGGUGUGUAUUGUUAAUUAGACUUAGAUAUGUAUCCAUACAGCUCUCAACUAUGAAUUUACUAACUGAACAUAGGAUGAAGUGCGGGUUGUCUUUUAUUUCAUCCAUAAGUAAGCAUGUGAGAGUUCCUCAA